AUAUCAAUAAGCGGAGGAAAAGAAACUAACAAGGAUUCCCCUAGUAACUGCGAGUGAAGCGGGAAGAGCUCAAAUUUGUAAUCUGGCGCAAGCCCGAGUUGUAAUCUAGAGAAGCGUUAUCAGGCGCCGACCGUGUUAAAGUUCCUUGGAACAGGAUGUCAUAGAGGGUGAGAAUCCCGUGCUUGACAUGGCUGCGGUGCUGCAGAGGCGCUCUCGACGAGUCGAGUUGUUUGGGAAUGCAGCUCAAAACGGGUGGUAAACUCCAUCUAAAGCUAAAUAUUGGCGAGAGACCGAU
rnacentral:rRNA from 1 species